UGAUGAUUCAAAAUUUCAUUUUUGAGUUAUUGAGUAUUUUAUAAAAAAGGGGGAGGGUUUUUUACAUGUCGCGCCGUAUCUCAAAAACGAUUUAUGAUUAUGGUUUAAAACUUUACACACAUCAUUGUUAUAUUAAUCUAAAGAUCUGUAUACUUUUUGGUGAUGAUUCAAAAUUUCAAUUUUGAGUUAUUGAGUAUUUUGUAAAAAAGGGGGAGGGUGUUUUUACAUGUCGUGCUGUAUCUCAAAAACGAUUUAUGAUUAUUGCUUAAAACUUUACACACUUCUUUUUUAUAUUAAUCUAAAGAUCUGUAUACUUUUUGGUGAUGACUCAAAAUUUUAUUUUUAAGUUAUUGAGUAUUUUGUAAAAAAGGGGAGG
rnacentral:lncRNA from 1 species